UGGGGAAUUUUGGACAAUGGGCGCAAGCCUGAUCCAGCCAUGCCGCGUGCGGGAAGAAGGCCUUCGGGUUGUAAACCGCUUUUGUCAGGGAAGAAAUCUUCUGAGUUAAUACCUCGGGAGGAUGACGGUACCUGAAGAAUAAGCACCGGCUAACUACGUGCCAGCAGCCGCGGUAAUACGUAGGGUGCAAGCGUUAAUCGGAAUUACUGGGCGUAAAGCGUGCGCAGGCGGUUUUGUAAGACAGAGGUGAAAUCCCCGGGCUCAACCUGGGAACUGCCUUUGUGACUGCAAGGCUUGAGUGCGGCAGAGGGGGAUGGAAUUCCGCGUGUAGCAGUGAAAUGCGUAGAUAUGCGGAGGAACACCGAUGGCGAAGGCAAUCCCCUGGGCCUGCACUGACGCUCAUGCACGAAGCGUGGGGAGCAAACAGGAUUAGAUAGCCCUGGUAGUCCACGCCCUAAACGAUGUCAACUGGUUGUUGGGAAGGUUCCUUCUCAGUAACGUAGCUAACGCGUGAAGUUGACCGCCUGGGGAGUACGGCCGCAA
rnacentral:rRNA from 1 species